UUUAUGGAGAGUUUGAUCCUGGCUCAGGAUGAACGCUGGCGGCGUGCCUAAUACAUGCAAGUCGAGCGAACAGAUAAGGAGCUUGCUCCUUUGACGUUAGCGGCGGACGGGUGAGUA
rnacentral:rRNA from 1 species